rnacentral:rRNA from 1 species
UACGAAGGGUGCAAGCGUUGUCCGGAAUUAUUGGGCGUAAAGAGCUCGUAGGCGGUUUGUCGCGUCUGGUGUGAAAAUCCAGGGCUUAACCCUGGACCUGCAUCGGGUACGGGCAGACUAGAGUGCGGUAGGGGAGAUCGGAAUUCCUGGUGUAGCGGUGAAAUGCGCAGAUAUCAGGAGGAACACCGGUGGCGAAGGCGGAUCUCUGGGCCGUAACUGACGCUGAGGAGCGAAAGCAUGGGGAGCGAACAGG